ACACUCCUGCGGGAGGCAGCAGUGGGGAAUUUUGGACAAUGGGCGAAAGCCUGAUCCAGCAAUGCCGCGUGAGUGAAGAAGGCCUUCGGGUUGUAAAGCUCUUUUGUCAGGGAAGAAACGGUGAGAGCUAAUAUCUCUUGCUAAUGACGGUACCUGAAGAAUAAGCACCGGCUAACUACGUGCCAGCAGCCGCGGUAAUACGUAGGGUGCAAGCGUUAAUCGGAAUUACUGGGCGUAAAGCGUGCGCAGGCGGUUUUGUAAGUCUGAUGUGAAAUCCCCGGGCUCAACCUGGGAAUUGCAUUGGAGACUGCAAGGCUAGAAUCUGGCAGAGGGGGGUAGAAUUCCACGUGUAGCAGUGAAAUGCGUAGAUAUGUGGAGGAACACCGAUGGCGAAGGCAGCCCCCUGGGUCAAGAUUGACGCUCAUGCACGAAAGCGUGGGGAGCAAACAGGAUUAGAUACCCGGGUAGUCCC
rnacentral:rRNA from 1 species